rnacentral:rRNA from 1 species
AGCGAACGCUGGCGGCAGGCCUAACACAUGCAAGUCGAACGAACUCUUCGGAGUUAGUGGCGGACGGGUGAGUAACACGUGGGAACGUGCCUUUAGGUUCGGAAUAACUCAGGGAAACUUGUGCUAAUACCGAAUGUGCCCUUCGGGGGAAAGAUUUAUCGCCUUUAGAGCGGCCCGCGUCUGAUUAGCUAGUUGGUGAGGUAAAGGCGCACCAAGGCGACGAUCAGUAGCUGGUCUGAGAGGAUGAUCAGCCACAUUGGGACUGAGACACGGCCCAAACUCCUACGGGAGGCAGCAGUGGGGAAUCUUGCGCAAUGGGCGAAAGCCUGACGCAGCCAUGCCGCGUGAAUGAUGAAGGUCGUAGGAUUGUAAAAUUCUUUCACCGGGGACGAUAAUGACGGUACCCGGAGAAGAAGCCCCGGCUAACUUCGUG